rnacentral:piRNA from 1 species
UUGUUUUUGUGGUACCCAGAU